AGAGUUUGAUUCUGGCUCAGAUUGAACGCUGGCGGCGUGCUUAACACAUGCAAGUCGAACGUGAAAGUCCUUCGGGGCGAGUAAAGUGGCGCACGGGUGAGUAACGCGUGGAUAAUCUACCCUUAAGAUGGGGAUAACGGCUGGAAACGGUCGCUAAUACCGAAUACGCUCCCGAUUUUAUCAUUGGGGGGAAAGAUGGCCUCUGCUUGCAAGCUAUCGCUUAAGGAUGAGUCCGCGUCCCAUUAGCUAGUUGGCGGGGUAACGGCCCACCAAGGCAACGAUGGGUAGCCGGUCUGAGAGGAUGACCGGCCACACUGGAACUGGAACACGGUCCAGACUCCUACGGGAGGCAGCAGUGGGGAAUAUUGCGCAAUGGGCGAAAGCCUGACGCAGCGACGCCGCGUGAGGGAUGAAGGUUCUCGGAUCGUAAACCUCUGUCAGGGGGGAAGAAACCCCCUCGUGUGAAUAAUGCGAGGGCUUGACGGUACCCCCAAAGGAAGCACCGGCUAACUCCGUGCCAGCAGCCGCGGUAAUACGGAGGGUGCAAGCGUUAAUCGGAAUCACUGGGCGUAAAGCGCACGUAGGCGGCUUGGUAAGUCAGGGGUGAAAUCCCACAGCCCAACUGUGGAACUGCCUUUGAUACUGCCAGGCUUGAGUACCGGAGAGGGUGGCGGAAUUCCAGGUGUAGGAGUGAAAUCCGUAGAUAUCUGGAGGAACACCGGUGGCGAAGGCGGCCACCUGGACGGUAACUGACGCUGAGGUGCGAAAGCGUGGGUAGCAAACAGGAUUAGAUACCCUGGUAGUCCACGCUGUAAACGAUGGGUGCUGGGUGCUGGGAUGUAUGUCUCGGUGCCGUAGCUAACGCGAUAAGCACCCCGCCUGGGGAGUACGGUCGCAAG
rnacentral:rRNA from 1 species